CCUACGGGUGGCAGCAGUGAGGAAUAUUGGUCAAUGGACGAGAGUCUGAACCAGCCAAGUAGCGUGAAGGAUGAAUGCCCUAUGGGUUGUAAACUUCUUUUAUAAAGAAAUAAAACGAGGCACGUGUGCCUUUUUGCAUGUACUUUAUGAAUAAGGAUCGGCUAACUCCGUGCCAGCAGCCGCGGUAAUACGGAGGAUCCGAGCGUUAUCCGGAUUUAUUGGGUUUAAAGGGAGCGUAGAUGGGUUGUUAAGUCAGUUGUGAAAGUUUGCGGCUCAACCGUAAAAUUGCAAUUGAUACUGGCAGUCGUGAGUACAGUUGAGGUAGGCGGAAUUCGUGGUGUAGCGGUGAAAUGCUUAGAUAUCGCGAAGAACCCCGAUUGCGAAGGCAGCUUACUAAACUGUGACUGACAUUGAUGCUCGAAAGUGUGGGUAUCAAACAGGAUUAGAUACCCUUGUAGUC
rnacentral:rRNA from 1 species